rnacentral:rRNA from 1 species
AUACGUAGGGAGCGAGCGUUGUCCGGAUUUACUGGGUGUAAAGGGUGCGUAGGCGGCUCUGCAAGUCAGGUGUGAAAACCAUCGGCUUAACUGAUGGACUGCAUUUGAAACUGUGGAGCUUGAGUGGAGUAGAGGCAGACGGAAUUCCCGGUGUAGCGGUGAAAUGCGUAGAGAUCGGGAGGAACACCAGUGGCGAAGGCGGUCUGCUGGGCUUUAACUGACGCUGAGGCACGAAAGCAUGGGUAGCAAACAGGAUUAGAUACCCUGGUAGUCCAUGCCGUAAACGAUGAUUACUAGGUGUGGGUGGUUUGACCCCAUCCGUGCCGGAGUUAACACAAUAAGUAAUCCACCUGGGGAGUACGGCCGCAAGGUUGAA